GUGCUCAUUUCAGCAGCAUAUAUACUAAAAUUGGAAUGAUACAGAGAUUAGCGUGGCCCCUGCCCAAAGAUGACACGCAAAUUGGUGAAGCAUUCCAUUUUUUU